CCCAAUCGACAGGGGCGCUCCGUAUUGCCGGGGCUGAGAUGGAAGGUGCCAAGCCUUCGGUCCCUCAAGCUGAUCUGGGUAAUGCCAGCGGAGCGAGGCGAGU
rnacentral:ncRNA from 1 species